rnacentral:rRNA from 1 species
AGCUUGUUGGUGAGGUAAAAGCUCACCAAGGCGACGAUCUGUAGCGGGUCUGAGAGGAUGAUCCGCCACACUGGAACUGAGACACGGUCCAGACUCCUACGGGAGGCAGCAGUGGGGAAUUUUGGACAAUGGGGGCAACCCUGAUCCAGCCAUGCCGCGUGAGUGAAGAAGGCCUUCGGGUUGUAAAGCUCUUUCAGCCGGGAAGAAAACGCAUGGGUUAAUACCCUGUGUGGAUGACGGUACCGGAAUAAGAAGCACCGGCUAACUACGUGCCAGCAGCCGCGGUAAUACGUAGGGUGCGAGCGUUAAUCGGAAUUACUGGGCGUAAAGCGUGCGCAGGCGGUUUUGUAAGACAGGCGUGAAAUCCCCGGGCUUAACCUGGGAACUGCGUUUGUGACUGCAAGGCUAGAGUACGGCAGAGGGGGGUGGAAUUCCACGUGUAGCAGUGAAAUGCGUAGAGAUGUGGAGGAACACCAAUGGCGAAGGCAGCCCCCUGGGUCGAUACUGACGCUCAUGCACGAAAGCGUGGGUAGCAAACAGGAUUAGAUACCCUGGUAGUCCACGCCCUAAGCGAUGUCAACUAGGUGUUGGGAGGGUAAAACCUUUUAGUACCGGAGCUAACGCGUGAAGUUGACCGCCUGGGGAGUACGGCCGCAAGGUUAAAACUCAAAGGAAUUGACGGGGACCCGCACAAGCGGUGGAUGAUGUGGAUUAAUUCGAUGCAACGCGAAAAACCUUACCUACCCUUGACAUGCCAAGAACUUUCCAGAGAUGGAUUGGUGCCCGAAAGGGAACUUGGACACAGGUGCUGCAUGGCUGUCGUCAGCUCGUGUCGUGAGAUGUUGGGUUAAGUCCCGCAACGAGCGCAACCCUUGUCGUUAAUUGCCAUCAUUUAGUUGGGCACUUUAACGAGACUGCCGGUGACAAACCGGAGGAAGGUGGGGAUGACGUCAAGUCCUCAUGGCCCUUAUGGGUAGGGCUUCACACGUCAUACAAUGGUCGGUACAAAGGGUCGCCAAGCCGCGAGGUGGAGCCAAUCCCAGAAAGCCGAUCGUAGUCCGGAUCGCAGUCUGCAACUCGACUGCGUGAAGUCGGAAUCGCUAGUAAUCGUGGAUCAGAAUGUCACGGUGAAUACGUUCCCGGGUCUUGUACACACCGCCCGUCACACCAUGGGAGCGGGUUCCGCCAGAAGUAGGUAGCCUAACCGCAAGGAGGGCGCUUACCACGGCGGGGUUCGUGACUGGGGUGAAGUCGUAACAAGGUAGCCGUAGGGGAACCUGCGGCUG